GACGAACGCUGGCGGCGUGCUUAACACAUGCAAGUCGAACGGAAAGGCCCUGCUUUUGUGGGGUGCUCGAGUGGCGAACGGGUGAGUAACACGUGAGUAACCUGCCCUUGACUUUGGGAUAACUUCAGGAAACUGGGGCUAAUACCGGAUAGGAGCUCCUGCUGCAUGGUGGGGGUUGGAAAGUUUCGGCGGUUGGGGAUGGACUCGCGGCUUAUCAGCUUGUUGGUGGGGUAGUGGCUUACCAAGGCUUUGACGGGUAGCCGGCCUGAGAGGGUGACCGGCCACAUUGGGACUGAGAUACGGCCCAGACUCCUACGGGAGGCAGCAGUGGGGAAUAUUGCACAAUGGGCGGAAGCCUGAUGCAGCAACGCCGCGUGCGGGAUGACGGCCUUCGGGUUGUAAACCGCUUUCGCCUGUGACGAAGCGUGAGUGACGGUAAUGGGUAAAGAAGCACCGGCUAACUACGUGCCAGCAGCCGCGGUGAUACGUAGGGUGCGAGCGUUGUCCGGAUUUAUUGGGCGUAAAGGGCUCGUAGGUGGUUGAUCGCGUCGGAAGUGUAAUCUUGGGGCUUAACCCUGAGCGUGCUUUCGAUACGGGUUGACUUGAGGAAGGUAGGGGAGAAUGGAAUUCCUGGUGGAGCGGUGGAAUGCGCAGAUAUCAGGAGGAACACCAGUGGCGAAGGCGGUUCUCUGGGCCUUUCCUGACGAUGAGGAGCGAAAGCGUGGGGAGCGAACAGGCUUAGAUACCCUGGUAGUCCACGCUGUAAACGGUGGGUACUAGGUGUGGGGUCCAUUCCACGGGUUCCGUGCCGUAGCUAACGCUUUAAGUACCCCGCCUGGGGAGUACGGCCGCAAGGCUAAAACUCAAAGGAAUUGACGGGGCCCCGCACAAGCGGCGGAGCAUGCGGAUUAAUUCGAUGCAACGCGUAGAACCUUACCUGGGUUUGACAUGGAUCGGGAGUGCUCAGAGAUGGGUGUGCCUCUUUUGGGGUCGGUUCACAGGUGGUGCAUGGCUGUCGUCAGCUCGUGUCGUGAGAUGUUGGGUUAAGUCCCGCAACGAGCGCAACCCUUGUUCACUGUUGCCAGCACGUUAUGGUGGGGACUCAGUGGAGACCGCCGGGGUCAACUCGGAGGAAGGUGGGGAUGACGUCAAGUCAUCAUGCCCCUUAUGUCCAGGGCUUCACGCAUGCUACAAUGGCUGGUACAGAGAGUGGCGAGCCUGUGAGGGUGAGCGAAUCUCGGAAAGCCGGUCUCAGUUCGGAUUGGGGUCUGCAACUCGACCUCAUGAAGUCGGAGUCGCUAGUAAUCGCAGAUCAGCAACGCUGCGGUGAAUACGUUCCCGGGGCU
rnacentral:rRNA from 1 species